AGCCUAGCGCCAGCCUAGCCGCCUAGCCGCCCGCCUAGGCCGACUUUUCGAACACUGCGAUUGACUCAAAGUCUGAAACCCGAAAUUGAAAAAAUUUAUCUGCAAAUUUGAGAUUGGGAAGCCGAAGCAGUGAAGCACAAGUCAGGUCCAUAGAAGAAGAGAUCAUGAGACUCUUAAUUCAUCUAAUUCCAUUCCUCUCCCUGUUUCGCGCCUUAUAUUCUUCUCUCUUCACACUGACGACAUGGCGCAGAAGAAAAAAAUACAUAAUUUGCUGACUUGGUGUCUGUCUUCUGUGGAAGGAAAUGAUGAAGUGUCCUAUCAUGGAGUUUCUAUGGUGUUGCCAAUAACAAGGUUUUUCUGUGUUGAAAUGAGACUGAACAUAGUGGAAUAAAUACAAAUUUCAUGUGAAAAAUGCGGUCCAAGUGUUUGGAAUUGCAGCAAGAUUUCUUUUUGAAAGCUUAAAUGUCAGGAAGCAAAGUGUUGCUAACGUAUAAGCGAAAGCGGCAAUCAAGAACAGAUCCUGUACAGGGACAUGAGUGCCGUAAUUCACUUUUUGUUGCUCCCGAUGAUACUUCUUUACGCAAACCACCAGACUUGCAAGUUCAUUUGAUUGAUAAGCGUUCAUCAGAACAUUACAAAAGGAAUUCUGCGGUAUGCCAUGUAUGUUUUGUGUGCUGUGUCGGGGGUAACCUGAAGCACUGUGGAAAAUGCCUUCAGUCCUACAAUCUCCAAUGCCUAGAUAAGCCCCAUAAGGAAAAGAAACACAUUGAAGUAUCUGGCACAAGACAAAUACCAAUUAAAACCGUUCUGACAAGUCUUGAUGAGGUUCCUUCCCAAAGGGAUGCAUAUGGGAAUAAGCCUAGUGGCAAGAAAGUUGGCUCAUCUUCAAAUGCUAAUGCUGGAGCAUUGGUUGAUGAUAAUAAUGUUGGAGGGAGGUUAGUUUCUCAAUUGGUGAUGAAUUCCGCUAUAAUUACUGCUGAUUUUGUAAGACAAAAAUCAUCAUCAGCAGCAGCAGCAUUUGAAAGAAAAAGCAGCUCUGAAUGUGAUGGUAGCUCGCCAAGAUUGAAUACAUCAAACUUAGAAGACACUGAUUCAUUUUGUAGAAAUAAGUUAGAUAAAUUAGGUGGGGAUUCAGCUUGCGUGAAACUAGUUGACCACCUCAUUGAUUACUUUCUGCCGAAGGAAUAAAAGAAAAAAGGAUAUGGAUGAGUCUAAUAUACAAAGGAAAUCACUGCCCGUGGAAAAUAGCUGCUCAUUGAUAACCAAAUUGAAUAAUUCUGUUUGUACUAAUACCAGUUCUUAUGAAGAAACUUCCCCUGAAAACUGCUCAGUAGAUCAUGAAGCAGAUUUGAAGCACUCCAGAGAGGUAUGUAAUUUGAAGCCUAUCUUUUGUCAAUUUGGAAAUAAUGUAUCUGCCUAUGAGCACAAACACAAUCAUGUGAAAUGAGAAAUAGAAAAUAAGAUGCGACAUGGAAAAUACAUUCUCAUUUACAUGUAUUCUAUAAUAAUACAUAUAUGUAUAAAAACAAGGUCAGAAUAAAAGGUGCAUCAUUGUUAGUGCUUAGUUGCCCUCGAGUGGCUGACUGACUCCACUAUUAUGUGCAUUCUUAACCUGAUACUUCAUUUCUGUAUAUGUAAUUUGUAAUCACCGAUCUAAUUUCUUUGUUACGGAUCAUUGAUUUUACAUAUGCUCGUGCUGGAUCUGCUGCCGCUGGAACUAAAAUGUAGGUUCACAUUAACUUCAGAACUUAUUGGUUUCUUAUAUUUGAAUUGCUUACUUCAUUCAUCGGGACAGUUUGAUGCAUAAAGAAGAACAACUUCAAGAUGACGAAAAGACAGGCAGUGACGCCUUACAACUGGCUGGAGAAGUACUUGGCCAGAGUGCUCAAAGUGCAAUGGAUGUUGAAGUUCUUCGCAUGGAUCAUUUAAGAAAAAGUUGUGAUACUAGAGACUCCUCUUCUGAAGCUGCAACUCUAUGUAAACCAGGAAAAACCCAUACAUUGAUAAGAGAUGAAGCUCAAGUUUUAUCAAGUGCUGAUCCUAAAGCAACAGAAACCCCUCAUUUAGGCAGAUCACUUCCUUAAUUGGACUUGUCUGUUAUCCCCACUGAAUUCUUAGUAGCAGAUUCAUGUGGCACUGUGGAAUGCAAUGUUGACUUAAACUUGAGUUCUCAGAAGCAACCUGACCUGGCUGCGCCAAAAACUAUGUGGGACUCCUUGGAUUAUACUAGCAGAAAUAAUGCCACUGUAUUGCAUGAACUGUCUCCUCCAGAAAUGUCCGCUGUGUGAAUUGAAAGAGUAGAAACUCAUGCUUCAUGGUUACACAAAGAUGCAUUUGAAUGUUUAGAAGUUGGUGACAGCUGCAAAGAUGAUGAUAAAGUUAGUCCUCUAUUUUCCAAGGAAAUUACACCAAAAAACCAGUGUAUGCAGCUAUUUUCAGAAGAAAAAACCAGUGACAACACAGCCUGUGGCGGCAGCUUCUAUAGCUUCAGGACAAAGAAGAAAUUCUUCAGUUCGGAGGCAAAAAUAAUCAACCAGAACAAGAAUCUCUUCUGUUACUCGGUCUAUCCUUAUCAGUAAACCCUUUAACUGCAGGAUGUGCAACCAAUACCUGCUUCAGUGCAUUUCCCUUCUUGAACUCUGUCAUUGAAACCAGAGAAUUUAUCCGAGAUGCAGCACUCCAAUCUUCCUCGAGCCAUUUAUCGUCAGUAUUGAGACACAAGCUUAUGCAUGAUAGUAUUGCAAGCCGAGCAAGAGCUUUCAAUGAAAGGAGUAAACAUGUUCUACAGAGAAUUUUCGAAAUUCAGGGAAUGUUACCAUAAUGUCAAUAAUUAUGCUAUGUACUACUGGUGAAGUCUCUUGGCAACUGAGAUUUUGUUCAGAUUUAGAUUAUGUGUGUGUUUCAUUUAUGUGACUUAACUUUCGAGGUAACAAUUGUACCUAAAACGCUUCAAGUGACUUUCUUUGUAUUGUUAAUUCAGCCCAAAGUUCGUA